GCGUGAGUGAAGAAGGCCUUAGGGUUGUAAAGCUCUUUCAGCAGGGAAGAUAAUGACGGUACCUGCAUAAGAAGCCCCGGCUAACUCCGUGCCAGCAGCCGCGGUAAUACGGAGGGGGCUAGCGUUGUUCGGAAUUACUGGGCGUAAAGCGCGCGUAGGCGGAUCAGUCAGUCAGAGGUGAAAUCCCGGAGCUCAACUUCGGAACUGCCUUUGAUACUGCUGAUCUCGAGGAUAGGAGAGGAGAGUGGAAUUCCCAGUGUAGAGGUGAAAUUCGU
rnacentral:rRNA from 1 species